AAGAGGGAAGAAGAAAAAAAGAAAUGGCAGACUAAGCACAUUUCAGCAGAAGUAGAGAAGUUACUACGCAUAGGUGCUGCUGUGAUAUGAAAGAAAUCUGUCUAUUUUGAACUGGAUAAUGUACAUUCUGUUUUGAGAGUUCUCCGGUUGUUUUUUUUUUUGGACGACCGAUAUCUGAACGAGCCAGUGGAGUUCCAGAACCAGGAGGGUUCCGCCGCCAUCUUUGUGAUUCGGACACAAAGAUGGCGCCUGGAAAGACGGAGGGCCUGGUGCUGCUGGAGCUGGAUAUUUUGCGUGGACAACAGAUAAGCUUAUUGAACAAAAAGGGGGGCCCCCAAAUCUUUUUUUUUUAUUCCACAAACUAUUUGUUCAUGAAUAUUUUCAUAACGGACAACUUAUGUGCACAUUGACUGAACUGACUGACUGAACUGUUAUAUUGAAGGACUAACUGGAAUAUGUAAUUUCUUUUGUUGAAAUAAGCUUUAAAGCUACUGUU